rnacentral:lncRNA from 1 species
UCUCCCUCUCUGUGUCUCUCUCCUGGUUGCUCUGUCUCUCUCUGUCUCUUUUUAAGACUCUGUGGGUGUCUCUGUCUCUCUCUUCCCCCAUCUCUUUCUCCAUCUUUCUAUGUCUCUCUGUGUCUCUGCUUCUCUGACUUUUUUGGUCUCUCUCUCUGUCUCUCACUUUCUUUCUUGCUUGCUUGCUUGCUUGCUUGCUUUCUUGCUUGCUUGCUUUCUUUGUUUCUCUGUCUGUGUGUGUGUGUGUGUGUGUGUGUGUGUCUCACUCUCUUGAUAUCCCACUCUCACUCUCCAUCUCGCAGCUCUCUUUGGUUUCACUAUGCAAGCUGGCUCUCCCCGCCUGAUGAUCCAGUGGGAUUAGCAGGAACCGGGUGGACUACCCCCACCACCCGCACCCUGUGCCCAUCCAUGAACUGGGACAGAGGAGAGGACUGAUCGCGCUACUUGGCCUGGCUGGACAUGCUGACCCUCAGGAUCACAGGCAGUGGAAGGAGCAGCUCCUGGAAGGUCAGAGUGGGACCUGUGACGGAUGGAAGCCACAAGACGCAAGGAUUGAGAACAAUGGACUUUUUGAUGUGUGUUGCAACAAACGCAUAGCCGAGGGUUGUAAAUCGGAGGGAUCACCAGGUCUGCCUACCAGCCACCAGGCAAGUGGGGAGAAGCUGUCACCCCAACUUGAGUUUCAAGAAGACUCCUUGGAAGAAAAGACCACCAAAUUGAGAAUGAAAAGAUCAUACACGGGGGUCGUCAGACAUGGUCUGAGACCUGCUGGGAAGAACAGCAGCCUGGCCCUGCUACCCCCUGGCUUCUGCUCACAGCACUGACCCCAGCUAAUCCAAGAACAUGUCACCUAUAAUGAGAAUAUUGAAGAAAAAUCAACCAUCUUCCAGAUGUGUCUAUAUCAUGAUACGGUACAUGGGUAAGGUAAGCUGAACACAACAUAAAAAAGAAAACUUACAAACGCUCCCUUCAUCUCAUUAAAGAUGACUCCUUUAAAGACCAAGGGCAUCUGGGGGUCGCUAGGAUUCUCAUGUUCCAGCCGCCAUCCUUCUUGCCUCAGGACAAAUAAUUAUAAGCUGACAGUGACUCAAACACUAAAGUCUGUAUCAACUAGUUAAUCACUUAUGACAUACCAGAAAUCCAGCUCACCUAAACCUGGGAAAAAGGUGGCAUCCAAAUACACUGAGAGGAGAUCCUGAAAGUCCUUGGGAUUUUGUGUGGAAAAUGCAUACAGAGUAUAAUCACUAGCUGGGUACAAAUGAAAAGUGAAAUUGUAAAAUUUAACAGAUUUCUACUAAAAUUAUUGAAUCUCAAGCCUCAUUUCCCCUUUGUCCUAGGACAGUAAGUUGUAGCUAUUCUUGAGAUGGGGCAGUGGCUCCAUGCUCUGGCCCCCGACCUCAGCAGCUGUCCCAGCUCAUCACCCUGAGUGCCAGCUUUCCCAUCUCAUCUCAGGAUCUGCACUGGACGGCACCAGGGCUUUCUUCAGCGAACAUCUAAACUCUCUCAAGUGUCUCCAGAGACUUUCACAUGUCUACAAAGAUGACCUCAUUCUGUAACAGCAUGGAUUUAACUUGCUCUUCGAUGUCACUCCUUCACAGAGUGCACUGUUCAUCGUCACCCUAUCCGCUAGCGUCAGUCUUACUAAAAGUCAAACAUCAAUGUUAGUGGUAACUCUGGAGGCCUGGCAUUGUAGUGAUAUCCCCAAGAGAAAAUUGUUUUGAACCUUUCUGGGAAAAGUUCAUGUACCUUUUAUUCAAACGCUAGUUUUUAUAAUCUCGCUACCAUGUGGCUUUCCUGAAGGAUGAAAUUUCUAAUGUCCUUCAGGUAGAGAGAGGUAAAAAGUAUUCUAGAACAUUAAUUGCCCACUCCUCUCAUCCCUUCUCAGAAACUAACUGAAUUCCAGUGGGUGUGCCUGGCAAACCCAAACACGGUUUUCCGUUCAGGAUGCUGGUCUUACCUGUGAAGGCGUUCAUGAACGUGGAGAGGUACCGGUUCAACAUUUUGAAGAAAGGGUCUCUGCAUGGGUAUUUCCGAGACCCACAAAGGAUGGUAUGCUCAAGAAUGUGAGGAACAUCGGUACUGUCCACGGGAGUGGUGCGGAACUGCACGCUAGGGAAGAAGGAACUGCACGCCAGGGAAGGGGGAGGAACAAGGAACAGAAGGCCAGCGACGGGGAGAAACAGAACGCUAGGGAAGGAGAAUGACUAGAAUACAAAACGUUCAUCUUAGUGCUGUGGACACAGUUCCCAGACGCAUCAUCACCUCGGGCUACUAGAAAUCAUUCUGACACCACAAUCCUCCAACCCAGGGUUUCCCAACUGUAAUGUAAAUCAUUGAUUCAGACUAUAAAAUUAUAUUUUGAUGAGAUUGUAAGUCCGUGUAAGCUUUUCCUUAUUUUUCAAGAUGCUCUGUCAAUAAAAAUACUAGUGAGAUGAUAUUUCAACCACGUAACAUACAGUCAGUGCUUUAAACCAAGCUUGUCUAACCCACAGCCUGCAGUCCGCAUGCUCAGGAUGGCUUGGAAUGCAUCCCAACACAAUCCCUACACUUUCUUAAAACAUUGAGGUCCUCUAUUUAUUUUUUUUUAGCUCAUCAACUGUCCUUAGUGUUAGUGUAUUUAGUGUGUGGCCUAAGACAGUUGUUCUUCUAAUGUGGCACAGGGAAGCCAAAAGAUUGGACAUCCUUGAUUUAAAUAAAACAUUCAAGACCAUGUUCUUACAAUGCACCACGUACCUGAACAGAUUGUUCGUGUCUUCUCUGGCCAGGUGUAAAUACCUGGCUCCUCUGUCAUCGUGGCUGAGCUUCAUGGCCGUCAGGAACAGCUCGGGAACAGAUGUCACCUGAGUUAACCAGAAAAACACGAGCAGUUAAAUGUAGACAAAAUAGCCGUGAAAUGGUGAUCUUCGACACACUGAGAAAACUGGCUUUUCUGCCUGAAAUUAGAUGAUACCGGGAAGCCAGUAUUUCAGAGCUGCAGAGAACAGAACCGUCCUGUCCAAGUCCCUUAUCCUACAAACAAGGAAAGUAAGACCUAAAGAAGGCAAAUGAGAAUGUGUGUGUAUAAAUGUAUAUUUUUGAGUGCUUAUUACUGGCUAGGUAUUUUCCAUUUUUUUUAUUUUUAAAUUUUUUAUUCUGUUUUGGCUAGGCAUUUUCUAAUCAUGUCACAUAGAAUCCUGUGAGGGAGGUAGUCUCAUCCUCAUUUACAGAUGAAAAAACUGAGGCUCAGGGUGAUGAAACAAGCUGCCCGAAUCAGAGCCAGGAUUCACCCUGGUGUCUGCCCUUCCCACGGUACUGUGCUGCACCUAAAUAACACAGCACCCUUUCCAACGCCUGCUGAGUGCCUCCUGCUUUUGUGUACUGCACCUCAGUAACACAGCACCCCUUCCAACAUCGGCUGUGUGCCUCCUGUUUCUGUGCAUAUAAUCUCCUGUAGUGCGAAGCACGGGCCUGCAGGAGGGGCAAUGCUGGAGUGGGCUACCGGCGACAGUGGGGAGAGGGUCCAGGAUCAGCCUUGCUUCUCCUAGUUUGGGAUGGAUUCUCGGUGGUAGCUGUAAGCACAAAGCUGGGGCUUCCAGAAGAGCUGGAGGGGCUGGGAGGAUAGAAAUGCCCCCCAAAAAGAUGAAAGACUCCCCACUCCUGGGGCAGGGUGGAAGGUCUUCUCCUACCUUAGGCAAGCCUCCUGGUAAGUGUCCAUACUCUUUGGUAUGAAAGAAACUGUCUUCUCUUCCAGUCAUGCCAGCCGACCCAGCCCUCUCCCUCAAUCACAUACCAUGUCCCUGUGAUCACCACAACACGUGCCACCCCCUCCGUCCAGGUGCCAUGAGUCACCUGGCCAAGCGCACACAGCAAGUCGCUGGCAGAGGUGAGACCUCGGGUCUCCUCAGCCCAAUCUAGGGAGCCUGCCAUCCAACAGUCAUGCAUAAAGCGGCCCACUAUGACCUGCAUCAUCUACCGCUGUUAAAUUACUUGUUUCCAAGCUUACCGUACUUUGUAUCAGAUGAUCAAUGCAUUUAAAAUCAGCAGAUACAGUGAGAUGUCUGCUUUCUAAUAAUAUAUAGCUUUAAUAAUAAUAGCGUUCAUGGUAGCUAUUUCUCAAACAAGAAACAUGACUUAUCGUAAGUUUCUAUGGCUGGACACAGUGGCUCACACCUUUAAUCCCAGCACUUUGGAAGGCCAAGGUGAUAUGGUUUGGCCUCGUCCCCACCCAAAUCUCAUCUUGAAUUGUAGUUCCCAUAAUCUCCACAUGUUGUGGGAGGGACCUGGUAGGAGGUAAUUGAAUCAUUAGGGGGGUUCCCCCAUGUUAUUCUCAUGACAGUGAGUAUGUUCUCACGAGAUCUGAUGGUUUUAUAAGGGGCUUCCCCCUUCACUUGUCAUUCUCUUCCAUACCACCCUGUGAAGAGGUGCCUUCCACCAUGAUUGUAAGUUUCCUGAGGCCUCCCCAGCCAUGCAGAACUGUGAGUCAAUUAAACCUCUUUACUUUUUAGCUCAUUCAUUAUAAAUUAUCCAGUCUUGGGUAUUUCUUCAUAGCAGUGUGAGAUUAGACUAAUACACAAGACAAGAGGAUUGCCUGAACUCAGGAGUUUGAGACCAGCCUAGACAACAAAGUUUCC